UACGUAGGGGCUAGCGUUGUCCGGAUUUAUUGGGCGUAAAGAGCGUGUAGGCGGCCUGGUAGGUCUGCUGUGAAAACUCGAGGCUCAACCUCGAGAUGUCGGCGGAAACCAUCUGGCUAGAGUCCGGAAGAGGAGAGUGGAAUUCCUGGUGUAGCGGUGAAAUGCGCAGAUAUCAGGAAGAACACCUAUGGCGAAGGCAGCUCUCUGGGACGGU
rnacentral:rRNA from 1 species